rnacentral:rRNA from 1 species
GUAGGGUGCAAGCGUUAAUCGGAAUUACUGGGCGUAAAGCGUGCGCAGGCGGUUAUAUAAGACAGAUGUGAAAUCCCCGGGCUCAACCUGGGAACUGCAUUUGUGACUGUAGAGCUAGAGUACGGCAGAGGGGGAUGGAAUUCCGCGUGUAGCAGUGAAAUGCGUAGAUAUGCGGAGGAACACCGAUGGCGAAGGCAAUCCCCUGGGCCUGUACUGACGCUCAUGCACGAAAGCGUGGGGAGCAAACAGGAUUAGAUACCCUGGUAGUCCACGCCCUAAACGAUGUCAACUGGUUGUUGGGUCUUCACUGACUCAGUAACGAAGCUAACGCGUGAAGUUGACCGCCUGGGGAGU